UCCAUGCUGGUGUAUCGGUAACAUUUCCGCCUCUCAGUGUAUUCUGUACACAAGAACGCGGUAGCGCAGGGUUCGACUCCCUGGCAUGGAA